rnacentral:rRNA from 1 species
UACGAAGGGGGCUAGCGUUGCUCGGAAUCACUGGGCGUAAAGCGCACGUAGGCGGAUCUUUAAGUCAGGGGUGAAAUCCCUCGGCUUAACCGGGGAACUGCGUCUGAUACUGGAUGGCUAGAGUUUGGGAGAGGGAUGCGGAAUUCCAGGUGUAGCGGUGAAAUGCGUAGAUAUCUGGAGGAACACCGGUGGCGAAGGCGGCAUCCUGGACCAACACUGACGCUGAGGAGCGAAAGCCAGGGGAGCAAACGGG